AUAUAUUCAGAUUUGAUACUUUGUAUAGAAAGGUUUGAAUUCAGCUCAGGUGUUAAGUGUAGCACAAUUUCUCUGCAUGGCCCCACGACGCCCUCCAUCCAUUCACCCACUAUCCAUGACGCUUUUCUUAAGGGUCAUGGGGGCGCUGGAGCCAAUCCUAGCCGACAUUGGGGCGAGAGGCGGGGACACUAUCAACAUAAGCGCCUGUGAAGUGAUAACACCUGGAUUUUUCCAAGCCAGUACAGAAGACACCACACCACACCCAGUAUUCUGUGUGAUGAAAGCCCGGACAGACUGUCUGAAGCCAUAUCCCUAAUCCUUAAAAUGGGAGGGGGUGUUGGUAGAAUCUGAACUAGGUUAGGUAAAAAUACCAACCAUCGCCUAGAUGGGGUGUUUCCUUCCUUCUGCCUGGCAUGUGCUCCCUCUGGUGGGGACUUCUGACAGGACGAGUUGCACAGCUGAAUUAGACAAACAGUGUCUGUUCUCUGAGAAAUGUCAAACUUUUUACAGCUGCAGGGAAACCAUGUUUUUCAAAGGCACAUUUGGUGUGGGGUCUUAUAUUUAGAAGAGAAGAGGUUCAGCAGAGACCCCAUGACAUGUUCCAGCAGCCCAGGAAGCAGGGGGAAGUUUACUAAAACAUGCAUUUGCUUCAUUCACGAAUGUGUUGUCUCUGCAGCUCUUCAGGAUUAAUUAUAAGUCUUUGUACAGUACAACAGACAUUAGAGUUAAUUUAUGCUUACACUACUUUUGGCAUAAUUUUGCGUCUGGAACCGGUAAUUUGGGUCCCUUGCCCACCACUUAUUAACUUAAUUUGUCGUAAUUGUUUUAAAUAAAACAUGUUAAAGGAGGUGACAUGUCAUCCAUAUGUAUUUCAGUUUUGGAUCAAACAUUUAAGCUGCCCGAAAGACUCCUUUUAGCCCCGUGGCUGAGCUUUCGGCUGGGACUUUUAUUUAGUGAGUGGCGAGGGCGAGAAUGUCCAAAUAUCUCUCCCCUGAAAAAAAUGAUGGCGGCAUCAAUGACUCACAUUUCCUGCAGUGUUACAUAAUAUCCCGUGGUUAUGCAGAGCCUGUAAACACAGACCUUUGAGUUCUUUCAAUACUUUCUGUUUGGCCAGCCACAAACAGCAAGUAAAGCAGUAAACAAAAAUGUCUAACAAAAAAGUCUAACAAAUUCUGUAUUAAUUUAAUACAGAUCAAAUCACUGUUAUUACUUGAGGCUAAUAGCUGCUCUUAUAUAACAGCAACUGCUCAUAUAAACCUGCAUAAACUUGUCAGACUGUGCAGCAGAUUUCUAAAGCAUGUUUUUGUUCACAAAAUAUUAACAGCAAGCUAAUGUACAUUCUUAGAGUGGAAUACAAUCUUUUUUUUUCUGCAGACCACCCAUAAUUGAUUUGAUCAGCACAGUCAGUGUAAAAUGGUGAGAAAGAAAAUGCAUAAAAUACUGUUGAUUUUUGAUUUUUAUUUUAGAUAGAAGGAAUGAUAGAGGAAGGUUUGAAGAAGACUGGAGGGUGACGACUCUGUCAGCACAGAAAUGGAGGGAGCAUUUUAAUAUUAACUCCUGCUGCUAAUCCAUCCUGCUCAUGUGAUUUACUUAACAAUGUAAUUACAAUCUUAUCAACGUCAGUGUUUUGUCAGUUUUUAUUGAAUCUGCUUGCAGGGUUGAUCCACUAAUUCUUUCAUUGUACGCAUGUCUUAUCUCACUCGCUUCUCAUCCGCAUUUGUGAGAAUAUUAAUUUCUCACAAAAUGUAUAUUCUUGUUUUUAUCUUAAUGCCUGCAGCAUAUUAUUUUAUCCUUUGAUCAUUUAUUUUAGUAUAUUUGAUAUAUCUUUCAAUUUUUCUUCAUCUUAUCGUUUGGCGUUCGUUGACCUGUCUUUAUUAUUUCCUUGUUUUUAGUUACUGUUAUUAUUGUUUAGAUAUGUGCCUGUAUGUGGCGGAAGGAGGUAUGGUGGUAUUUCUUAUUUUUCUUUAUUCUGUGCAGCACAUUGUGUUACAUUGUUUGUUAAGACAGGUGUUGUUAAGCAAAUUGAUUGAUUGAAGAUGCAGUCACGAAAAUGUGUGUGAUUGAGGUCUGAAUGAAUGUUGAAAGGUGGAUGUGGUGCUCUAUGAGACAGCAGCACCUUCAGACGGACUAGAAUAUGAGUGAGAAAACACUUUGAUAAAUUCUGUUUCAUGGAUAGUUUUAAUGCCAUCAGAAAGGCAUGUGCUGAUUCAUGUAAUGGAAGUCUCACCCACCUUUGUCAAACCAGCUUCACCAGUCCCUUUGUGCCACACUGUGUACACACACAUACACACACACACACACACACACACACACACAAACAGAGCUUCUAUCAUCGAUCACAAGAUGAUUAUUUUGUUUUGUGUGUGUGUGUGUGUGUGUGUGUGUGUGUGUGUGUGUGUGUGUGUGUGUGUGUGUGUGUGUGUGUGUGUGUGCAAGUCACACCCUAGACCUCGAACAACACAUAUUAGUCAUUCACAUUUUAGAGUCACAGGCUAGCACCACCCUUUAUUUAACAGGUGAUGAAUGACGACACUUACUUUUUACAUCCUAUUAGUAUGUUAUGUAUCUCUCUGUCUUUAUAUAUAUAUUUGAAUGUUUGAUUUUAACUCAGAUUUGUCUGUGCUUUCUCCUUGUCACCAAUAUUUCUUUAAUUAAAAUGACCAAAUAAAACAUUUGUAAAGUUAAAUACUUUAUUGUGCUGUUUUCUUGUCAACUUCUACAUUCUUCUAUACUAUACUUUCUAGAUUGGAAAAUUGAAUCAUUUCUGCAAACACAUUCCUAUCGACCAACUAUCAGCUUUGUUAAACUUCAUAAAGAAAGUAUUUCUGAAGUACUAAAUUACAUUGUACAGGUGUGACUUUUAAUGUUUCUGUAUAUUUUCUAAUAUGUUCUUUGGUGCCAACACCAAUUUGAGUUUAUUUGUCAUAGAAUUGAGAUUGUAGAUUAGAGUAAAAUUGAAUAUAUCAUAUUAUUAUUAUUAUCAUUAUUAUUAUUAUUUAUUGUGGAUCUUGAACACUCAAUUAAAGUGUAGGUGUUAUUAUUGUGUGCUGCCACUAUGAUAAGGUUAACAUGAAAAUAUUUUUAUUUCACAAAAGUUUUGCAGCCACAGUUAGUGUUUAACGUUAAAUUAUGUAAACUGACAAUUAAUAUAUAAAAUAUAAAUAAUUUAUAAUGAAAAAUAAAAAUGAAGAACACACACACAAACACACACAAACACACAACUACGUCAGCACUUUGGACAGAGCUUCUACUGACUGAAGCUUCCCAUGCACUUUGUCACAUUUUCUCCACAAUGAAAAGGAGUUUCCUCUCUGAGACGAUUACUCCUCUCUGAGACGAUUACAUCAAUAUACACACACCCACACACACACACACACACACACACAGGUAAACAUAUCAACCAAGUAAACCUUUGACCCACACAAACCUGAAUCUACCUUCUGAGCAAUGACAUAUGCUUUAUGGCUCAAAGUGACUGAGAAACUGGUUUGUCGCUGUAUCACUUAAAUAAGUCCUUUUUAUGCCAGCACAAAGGGACUGGUAGAGCUGGUUUGUACAGGUUGUGGGUGAGUGGGUGACGUUUCCAUUACAUGAUGCAGCAAAUAUCUUUGUAAAAGUGUGAAAGGCUUUGUGUGUCUGCUCUUAUAAAAAGAGGCAUCCUCCAUCAGUCUGACCAAAGCAGGACCUGGUGACACAGACGGAAUCUCUUCACCUAGUGAACGUAAAACUCCAAGUUGCAGUUAUGCCUCGCCUGGAAGAUGCCAUCAAAAACAUGGUGGAGGUGUUUGUGGAGAAUGCUAAAGAAGAUGGCACGUUAAACAAAGACGAGUUGAAGAAUAUGAUGGAGAAAGAGUUUGAUUGCGCUGAGAUCAAAGGUUCACUCCCUUCGAUGGACUUUGACAAGGCCAUGGGGAGAAUGGACAAGAACCACGAUGGAGAAGUCAACUUCAGAGAAUUUGCCACUUGUGUGGCUUUCAUUGCUAACUGCUGCUACAACAAGAAGACCGGCAAGGGCAAAGGAUGUGGGAGGAAAGGAGAAGGCUGUCACUGACAACUGAAGCUGAGGAAUGUGUCUCUGCAAUUUGGUUUUCAAUACAGUUUGUCUUUAACACUGGCUGAGAAAGAAUAAAUCUAUUACAUUGAA